rnacentral:tRNA from 1 species
GGGCCCGUAGCUCAGCGGUUAGAGCAGCGGACUCAUAAUCCGUAGGUCCUAGGUUCGAAUCCUAGCGGGCCCA